rnacentral:rRNA from 1 species
UACAGAGGUCCCGAGCGUUGUUCGGGUUCACUGGGCGUAAAGGGUGCGUAGGUGGCGUGGUAAGUUUGAUGUGAAAGCUCAGGGCUUAACCCUGAAAUGGCAUUGAAUACUACUAUGCUGGAGGUUUGGAGGGGGGACUGGAAUUCUUGGUGUAGCAGUGAAAUGCGUAGAUAUCAAGAGGAACACCAGUGGCGAAGGCGAGUCCCUGGACAACACCUGACACUGAGGCACGAAAGCUAGGGGAGCAAACAGG